rnacentral:rRNA from 1 species
ACGGAAGGCAGCAGUGGGGAAUAUUGCACAAUGGGCGAAAGCCUGAUGCAGCGACGCCGCGUGAGUGAAGAAGUAUUUCGGUAUGUAAAGCUCUAUCAGCAGGGAAGAAAAAUGACGGUACCUGACUAAGAAGCACCGGCUAAAUACGUGCCAGCAGCCGCGGUAAUACGUAUGGUGCAAGCGUUAUCCGGAUUUACUGGGUGUAAAGGGAGCGCAGGCGGUACGGCAAGUCUGAUGUGAAAGCCCGGGGCUCAACCCCGGUACUGCAUUGGAAACUGUCGAACUAGAGUGCAGGAGAGGUAAGUGGAAUUCCUAGUGUAGCGGUGAAAUGCGUAGAUAUUAGGAGGAACACCAGUGGCGAAGGCGGCUUACUGGACUGUAACUGACGUUGAGGCUCGAAAGCGUGGGGAGCAAACAGGAUUAGAUACCCUGGUA